rnacentral:rRNA from 1 species
UACAGAGGUCUCAAGCGUUGUUCGGAUUCAUUGGGCGUAAAGGGCGCGUAGGCGGCUCGUGAAGUCGGGUGUGAAAGCCCGGGGCUCAACCCCGGAACGGCAUCCGAUACUGGCGGGCUUGAGACCGGGAGAGGAGGGUGGAAUACCCAGUGUAGAGGUGAAAUUCGUAGAUAUUGGGUGGAACACCGGUGGCGAAAGCGGCUCUCUGGCCCGGAUCUGACGCUGAGGCGCGAAAGCGUGGGGAGCAAACAGGG